UUCUCUCACGGGCAGUUGGACUCGAGGAUUAUAGGUCCCUGCAAGUGAGCAUGUAAUGAACACAUCCUUGCUCGUGUUUGGGCGCUUCUCAGGGCACUUUGGCUUCCCGACCGUCCGAUCAUGACUCGGAGCGACUCUCACCCUUAGGAUUUGUUACCGAGUGUGCUGUUAUAAAACUAGGGUAGAAAUCCUUCAACGCGUAAUUCCCGUCGCAGCUGCUGCAUCACCUCUCGCGUUGCCUGUGUCAUUCCCAAUUUGCUCUCGUUCCACCGCUCCUCCUCAUCCUCGGCACUCCCUUGCACCUUCUCCUCCCGCUGUUUCGCCUCUCCCUCCCCUCUUAUAGUCCUAUGCCUGCUAUUCGUGCUGUUCCACCUCUCACUCCUGCUCAGUGCUCUCCCAGGCCUUCUCGUUCCACUGUGUGGAGCUCUGGCGGCACAACAAAUGGAAGAACGAGAUGCUAUCUUAGUAUUUGUUGACUUUUCCUCACAUGCCUCUAAGUUGUGCAUCUGUUCUUCCUUCCAACUGGCAAGGUUCUCAUGGGAGAAUAGACGGUGGCCCCCGACACCAAAUAUGUCAUGUACAUACCAUGGCUGAAAAAAAAUCUUUGCAAGCUUCCUCUGGUUAGCACAGUCUCCUUCUCUGUGAACCUUAUUGAAUCUUUGGUUAGUUGCUGUUAAGUAAUUAAUUCGUGUUCCAGCUGGUUUAUCUGUUGCAUUGUGUUGUAGUACUAUUGUUUGUGCGACUAAUAGAUUGUGUUCAUACCUUUUAUUUCUCCAAGUGUAUUAUUUUGUGUCUUCUUGAUAGCUAUCAUUGUUACUAUGAUUGGUGAGUUUGUUUGGUUCCAAGAUGAGCUCGGUUUGCUGUUUUUAAAAGGCUAUAUAACCUUCCUGGGUGUUUCCUUUUUGUUCUUGCAUUGUUUCAUCACUUUCCUUCUAUUAUGGUAUGCCCCUCUUGGAUUCCCUUUAUGUGCCCAUACGUGCAUUAAUCUUCGUAGCAGGGUCCAAAUGAUUCACCCAAAGGAAGUACAACUACCCUAUGAUUUUGUUGGCCUAUACAGCUUUAGUAAUUUUGUAUUUUUUUUGCAUGGCAACAAUAUUCUUCAGGAAUUUAAGGUAAUAAAACUGCUUUUGAGUACCCAACAUUAAUAUGUCUUGUUCGGUGUUUAAUAGAAAAUCAUUAUGUAAUGUGGUAGUAGCCUCUCGAAUUUAUUUGAUGGGAUCAUAUGCCGUUGUGAUUUUGAGGAUGCAUUGUGUGAUGUCAUACUUCUUUUGAAGAGAAGAGGUAUUCUUUGAUAUCUUUUGACAAUUAAUAUUUCUCCCAUUCCCAGACACCUCCUUAAAUCUGUUUUCCGAAACAGUUUUUUUCUUGAGCAUCUCAGUUGUAGCAAAUAAAUUUGUAUUGGGAAUUUUUAUAUGAUGUGAUUGCUUAAAGAUCCCCUGAAAAAUGUGCUCCCCUUACUAAUUAAAAGAGCAAGGGUUAUUUCAAGUAUUACUUAAUAUGUAUGUUUCCUACCUUGGCGCUACGUGUAAAACAUAUGAGGAGAUUUCAGAUACUCUAUUGAGGCUCUAGCUUUACGAGAUGCCUGUGCCCUUGCAGCUGACCGAGGUUAUAACAGGGUGAUCUUCGAGGGGAUGAUCGUUCGAUUAUCAAACCUAUCUUAGAUGAGAUUAGCGAGCUAGAAAGUUUAUUUUCUUAUUCUAAUACCGUGUUUGCCCGCCAUGAAACUAACCAGGCGACCCACUGUUGCGCAAAGUAUGCGGCGAUAGAUGGAGGGUUGUUUACUUGGGAUAUUGAGCCACCGGCAUUUUGAGUUCACAGCCUAGAGGCUGAUUGUAACCCUGUUUUGAUUAACUAAUAAAGCAUGCGGUUUCCCUCAAAAGAAGUUUAGAAUCUGGUGGCCUUGCGGUUGCUUAGUUGCUUCUGAUUCAUUGGGGAAGAAUGAUGAUUGGGUCUAUCUGCUGAUAACAGGUUGCUUCUUCCAUGCUGCACGUUCGAAGGCGUCAUUGUUUUUCUUGGCUGUUUGUUUAUUUAGACCAAGAUUGUCGCUGGUUAACAGUUGAGCAUUAGAUUUUGUUUUCUGUGUCUCUGAGAAGGAUGCAUGCUUGGGUUGGAUUAAGGUUACAGGAACAUGACACAUCAGCCAUAAUAGAUGUUACUACCUAUUCUCAUUCAGGCUCCACCGUUGCCGUCUCGGAGCCGCCCUCGCGCAGAUGCCGAUGUUGCGCAGCUGCCGCCGCUGUCCGCGGGCUCUGGCGCCGUUUGGGAGGGCCCUGGGUGGCGGCAACCGUGGUUGGAGAAGAUGCGAGAGGAGGAGGGAGGGAGAGCUCCGCCGGCCGCCCCGCACCUUCGCCACCGCCGGAUUCGCCCAAGUCCGUCCUCCUCGCGCGAGGUCGUUCUUGGGUUGGCGCUGGGUAGGUGGUGGAGGAGCAGCGAUGGGCUUCGGGCAGCGCUGGCCUUGAGGAGGAGCCGGUCACACAUGGGCCCUCCUCCGAGCUGUGGCGGGUCUCUCCGAUGGCGUGAGUACGACGGCUCGUGGGAGGCGGGGCCCUGGUGGCCAGUGGUGCUUGGCCACGGGCUCUUGCCGCCGGUGGUGCACGCCGCUAGGUCGUUGAGGGGAGCCGGCACAGGGAGCCCUUGGGGUCGCGCAUCCUCCACCUCCUCGGUACCUGCUCACCCUGGUGAGCAGCGCGAGGAGGGCCGCCCCAGGAACCCCGGAAGGAUGGCCAUGGCGCCGCUCGAUGGAUCUACGCCUUGUUGCUCAUCCAUCCUAUCUACCUCUCCGCUCAGGAUGCUAGAUUUUUUUUUACUAAUAGUCUCUUGCAACUUGUGUGAAUUUGGCAGUGGGCUGUUUCGACCUCCUGUUGGGUGAUGCCGCACUCACGCUCGAGAACCUCGGGUUCUUUAAUGUUAUGAUUGGCACGGUUGUCUGGAUUUGUAAGUGGUGAACAAGAGAAAAGUUACUAUCUCACUUGAAGACAAUGGAUUACUGCUGGUGUAUAUAUGUAAAAUUAGUUACUGGUGGUCUUACUUUCAGAUCGCAAAGUUUGUCCGAAUCAGACUGGAAAAGAAUUGCUUGGAGAUUCUUGGGUAUUGUGGUCCUGUGAUUUUUUAAUAUGCUCAGACACUGUGAGUAGCUAAAUGGUUCCUUGCCUUCUGUUAAAAUAGUGUUGUUUCUGUGGAGCACGUAAAAGAGGAGUCCUAUUUUUGGUUCAGGUUUCUUGCCAAUAAUUAUCCUUUUGGCUGCAUUGUGUUCUUCCGGCAACUAUGUUAAUUGCUCUGAGGUUAAACUCUCUCAUUAUCUACCACGCCUUUCUAAACAUGUGUUGUUGUUAGCUUCAGGUAAAUCUUCUCCCAGUUCUGUUGUAUAGACCAGGUGCCAAUGUACAAAGUUGUAUGAUUAAAUUCCCCCUUGCAGGUUAAACUCUCUCAUUAUCUACCACGCCUUUCUAAACAUGUGUUGUUGCUAGCUUCAGGGUUCUGAUUCGUGCGUAAC